GCGCUCUUGGUGUAACGGUAACAACACACUCACUAUUUUCAUCCAAUUCGAGUGGUCCCGGGUUCGACUCCCGGGGGGCGCC